UAAUUGAGGGUUUAUUAGAUGUUUAUUGAAAACAAGCCUCUUCAAAGAAUUCUUCUCCUUCUUCAAAUUAGCCCAUCUGUCUAUGGAGGCUUUUGGUGGCUGAAGAAAGCAGCAACUCAACAUUCUUUAUGGAAGUUCGGUGACUGAAGAAGAAAUCUCUCUUCUGGUAGCUCAUCAGCGAGUUUAGAGUAGCGCUACCGGACAUGCGUGUCUGUUUUGACUGUGGUUGAAGAUUUGGCUUCGGCUAUUGAUAUUCUAUUUAUUCUGACUUCACAGUCUAAGAUCCAGCCUUGAGUUGUUGAUUCUGAUUAUUGUCAGGCAGAUGUACACUUCUGGUUUCCACAUAUUUUUUGUAUUAUGAUUAUAUUCUGUAUUUCUAUCUGUUGUAUUAUUAUUUCUACAGUUAACUUGUAUUUUCUGUUAUUUUGUGAUCCUACUGGGCCCUUAUGGCUCAUGUACUCUGUCGUUUUUCUUUUUUUGGGUAACGAGUAAGCUUAGGAUCGGAGUGUGCUUGGGUUUGUUUGUUGUAGUUGUAAUCUUUUAAAUAACUGAACAUUGAGGUUGUAUACUUCGUAGUUUAUUGUCUAUUUGAGUGAGACUUGUAUCCUGGAUCAUUAUUGUUAAGUGUGGCAUAUUGUGUUUUUGUA